GACAGAGGGUGCAAACGUUGUUCGGAAUUACUGGGCGUAAAGGGCGCGUAGGCGGCCUUCUAAGUCAUGCGUGAAAUCCCCGGGCUCAACCCGGGAACUGCGUCUGAUACUGGAAGGCUCGAAUCCGGGAGAGGGAUGUGGAAUUCCAGGUGUAGCGGUGAAAUGCGUAGAUAUCUGGAGGAACACCGGUGGCGAAGGCGGCAUCCUGGACCAACACUGACGCUGAGGAGCGAAAGCCAGGGGAGCAAACGGG
rnacentral:rRNA from 1 species